rnacentral:rRNA from 1 species
UACGUAGGGUGCAAGCGUUAAUCGGAAUUACUGGGCGUAAAGCGUGCGCAGGCGGUUUUGCAAGACAGAGGUGAAAUCCCCGGGCUUAACCUGGGAACUGCCUUUGUGACUGCACGGCUAGAGUGUGUCAGAGGGGGGUAGAAUUCCACGUGUAGCAGUGAAAUGCGUAGAGAUGUGGAGGAAUACCGAUGGCGAAGGCAGCCCCCUGGGAUAACACUGACGCUCAUGCACGAAAGCGUGGGGAGCAAACAGG